rnacentral:rRNA from 1 species
UACGGAGGGUGCAAGCGUUAUCCGGAUUCACCGGGUUUAAAGGGUGCGUAGGCGGGUUGGUAAGUCCGUGGUGAAAUCUCCGAGCUUAACUCGGAAACUGCCGUGGAUACUAUCAAUCUUGAAUAUCGUGGAGGUAAGCGGAAUAUGUCAUGUAGCGGUGAAAUGCUUAGAUAUGACAUAGAACACCAAUUGCGUAGGCAGCUUACUACACGAUCAUUGACGCUGAGGCACGAAAGCGUGGGGAGCAAACAGG